GGGCAGAGGGUUAGGGCUUGAGAUGUUUGGAUUACCAAUGGUGUACGACCAUUUGAAAUCUCUAUUCAUUAACGGGUGUAUCUACAUCGGCGUGAUCUGAGUUGUUUGAGUGGCUGGUGUUAUUGGCCUGAAGGCUGAGAUAACAAUUCAUAUGGUGGUCUUUGGAGUGUCAUUCCGUUAUUAUUUUAAGAGGCACGACUUUGCCCAAACUGGAAACAUUUCAAUCGUAUAGUAUGUUAUAUUUAAAUGUAACGGAUUUUAGAGACCCUGACACUCUUCUAGAAAGUGAUGAGGUGGUUUGACUUUAAGAGAUUCUUUGACACCAUAGAGUGGUGAUUUGAGUCAUUCUACUGGAUAUUAUAGACCAUCAAGCUUUA
rnacentral:lncRNA from 1 species